rnacentral:rRNA from 1 species
UAAGAUCCCUUAUAGACGAUAAGGUUGAUAGGCUGGGUGUGGAAGCAUGGUGACAUGUUCGAGCUGACCAGUACUAAUAGAUCGAGGACUUAACCU